rnacentral:rRNA from 1 species
AUUGAACGCUGGCGGCAUGCCUUACACAUGCAAGUCGAACGGCAGCGCGGACUUCGGUCUGGCGGCGAGUGGCGAACGGGUGAGUAAUACAUCGGAACGUACCCUGUUGUGGGGGAUAACUAGUCGAAAGAUUAGCUAAUACCGCAUACGACCUGAGGGUGAAAGUGGGGGACCGCAAGGCCUCACGCAGCAGGAGCGGACGAUGGCUGAUUAGCUAGGUGGUGGGGUAAAGGCCCACCAAGGCGACGAUCAGUAGCUGGUCUGAGGGGACGAUCAGCCACACUGGGACUGAGACACGGCCCAGACUCCUACGGGAGGCAGCAGUGGGGAAUUUUGGACAAUGGGGGCAACCCUGAUCCAGCAAUGCCGCGUGUGUGAAGAAGGCCUUCGGGUUGUAAAGCACUUUUGUCCGGAAAGAAAUCGCGCUGGUUAAUACCUGGCGUGGAUGACGGUACCGGAAGAAUAAGCACCGGCUAACUACGUGCCAGCAGCCGCGGUAA